rnacentral:lncRNA from 1 species
UUUCCAUUCAUCUCUUUCACUUUACCUUUCAGCUCUCCAUUUUUUGCUUUCCUCAACUGGGUUUUCCUUCGUCGUCGGUGUGCGCUCUGAUUUCUCUCAAUUUAUUCCUUUUCGUUUUGCGAAAUUAUGUCCGGCGAGACAUGAUCUUUGAUUUUUGCAACCAUUGUUGGCCGUUAUUCUCUGUUUUUGGCUGCCAUCCGUAGUUUGGAUCGAUUUCGUCUUUUUCACCGUUUUGUUUCAAGCCUCUCUUUUGAGAGAAUUUUUACGUAUUAAGGUUAGUGAUUUCUAAACUUAAGUUUUGCUUUGCAGUUUGAUUUCAUUUUUGGUUGUCUUGCCCAAAUGUUAGAAGCUUUUAAUUUUUUUGGGUUCAAUUUUAAAUGGGUUGUUGCUUUCGGAGUUUUCGUUUGAUGACAGAGAUGGGGGUUUUUGGGGAAAAACUUUUAAUCCGUGAGUUUUAGUUAAGUUGUGUUGUGGGUCCUGACAAAUGGAUUUUUUGUUGAAAUUGUUUUUCUUCUCAUUUUUGGUUUUUUUUAUUUUUUUUAUUUUUAUUUUUUUGUGCCAUCGGGUUUUUGCAUGUGGGUGUAUAAUCAGGUUUUCUUCUGAAUUUCAGGGGAUUCAGGUUUUUAUUUUUUUUGGAACUUUUGUAUGCAGCUUUGGAAGACAUUUACGCUUAAGGUGAGAAACUUUGGUUGCCCGCUUUUGGGUUUUGUUGUAGAAUUAAGUUUUUUUUUAUUUUUUAAAGAGUUACAUUCGUGGGAAUUCAUUUAUUCUUCUUUUUUUCUGCAUCUGGAAAAUGCAACCUGAUGUGAGUUAUAGUCAUAAGUGCAAACAAGAAAAAGUUAUAGUCUUAAGUGCAAGAAAUAUAAAGCCAAAAGAACCUAGCAACAAUAUCAUACCUUAUUUUUCAAUUUACUUAUAAGGUUUCACAUUUUUGUAAAUAUCAAGAACAAAAACCUAGAACAGCCUCACAAUUUGGUGCACUGACUAGGAAAUUGACAGUUGGGUAUAGGUAUGGGUAGUUAAAAACUAUGAGACAUGAGAAUUAUUGUCAAAUGCAAGGACAGAAGGUCGUGUAUUUGCAAAGUUGAAGCGGCCCAAGGACCGAGUGGGUUUAAGGUUUAAUGCUCAGUAGUUGUUGUGCUUCUGCUGCUUUUUAGUUGUCGAGGAUAUGCAG